rnacentral:tRNA from 1 species
GCCUGGAGAGCUCAGUUGGUUAGAGCAUGGUGCUGAUAAUGCCAAGGUUGCAGGUUCAAUCCCUGUUUGGGGCA